CUAUAAUGCAGUCGAGCGAACAGAGAAGGAGCUUGCUCCUUUGACGUUAGCGGCGGACGGGUGAGUAACACGUGGGCAACCUACCUUAUAGUUUGGGAUAACUCCGGGAAACCGGGGCUAAUACCGAAUAAUCUAUUGUCCCUCAUGGGACAAUACUGAAAGACGGUUUCGGCUGUCGCUAUAGGAUGGGCCCGCGGCGCAUUAGCUAGUUGGUGAGGUAACGGCUCACCAAGGCGACGAUGCGUAGCCGACCUGAGAGGGUGAUCGGCCACACUGGGACUGAGACACGGCCCAGACUCCUACGGGAGGCAGCAGUAGGGAAUCUUCCACAAUGGGCGAAAGCCUGAUGGAGCAACGCCGCGUGAGUGAAGAAGGAUUUCGGUUCGUAAAACUCUGUUGUAAGGGAAGAACAAGUACAGUAGUAACUGGCUGUACCUUGACGGUACCUUAUUAGAAAGCCACGGCUAACUACGUGCCAGC
rnacentral:rRNA from 1 species